rnacentral:rRNA from 1 species
AGUAGCCGCGGGAAUACAGAGGGUGCGAGCGUUAAUCGGAUUUACUGGGCGUAAAGCGUGGGUAGGCGGCUAAUUGAGUCGGAUGUGAAAUCCCCGAGCUUAACUUGGGAAUUGCAUUCGAUACUGGUUAGCUAGAGUGUGGGAGAGGAUGGUAGAAUUCCAGGUGUAGCGGUGAAAUGCGUAGAGAUCUGGAGGAAUACCGAUGGCGAAGGCAGCCAUCUGGCAUAACACUGACGCUGAGGUACGAAAGCAUGGGGAGCAAACAGGAUUAGAUACCCCCGUAGUCCCUGUCUCUUAUACA